GAUGGGCCCGCGGCCUAUCAGCUUGUUGGUGGGGUAACGGCCCACCAAGGCGACGACGGGUAGCCGGCCUGAGAGGGCGAACGGCCACACUGGGACUGAGACACGGCCCAGACUCCUACGGGAGGCAGCAGUGGGGAAUAUUGCGCAAUGGGCGAAAGCCUGACGCAGCGACGCCGCGUGAGGGAUGAAGGCCUUCGGGUUGUAAACCUCUUUCAGCAGGGACGAAGCGAAAGUGACGGUACCUGCAGAAGAAGCACCGGCCAACUACGUGCCAGCAGCCGCGGUAAUACGUAGGGUGCAAGCGUUGUCCGGAAUUAUUGGGCGUAAAGAGCUCGUAGGUGGUCUGUCGCGUCGGCUAUGAAAACUCGGGGCUCAACCCCGAGCUUGCAGUCGAUACGGGCAGACUUGAGUGCGGUAGGGGAGACUGGAAUUCCUGGUGUAGCGGUGAAAUGCGCAGAUAUCAGGAGGAACACCGGCGGCGAAGGCGGGUCUCUGGGCCGUAACUGACACUGAGGAGCGAAAGCGUGGGGAGCGAACAGGAUUAGAUACCCCGGUAGUCCACGCCGUAAACGUUGGGCGCUAGGUGU
rnacentral:rRNA from 1 species